GGUUGCGAUCAUACCAGCAUUAAUGCACCGGAUCCCAUCAGAACUCCGCAGUUAAGCGUGCUUGGGCGAGAGUAGUACUAGGAUGGGUGACCCCCUGGGAAGUCCUCGUGUUGCAACCCC
rnacentral:rRNA from 1 species